GUGUGCAAAGGAUCCUGUUGCAGCGUCGUUCUUGCUGCAAUAGAAGAGUGACUAAGACAGUGUCUCAAAAGGUUCAGAAGGCCAGAUGGGAAAAGACCUAUUACCAGAACCGACUGGACCUUGUGCCUUGUCUCUGAGUCAUCUACAUGUUCCUAGCCAUUCAGGCAGGUUUGGGCAUGGGCUCAUUGGUUGGCCACUCCCACAGCUCUGAGCCAAGGAUGUCACCCUACCACACACCUCUACCGCCAUCUGCAUACUUUUAAACUGAUCAUUCUUUGGAUAUGGCCGAAGUCUUUUUGCCAAGGCGACAAGGCUACUAAAACAUCACCUGACCUCUCUCUGGGCACCCGCCAAUGAGAACGUGUCUCUCAUUAACCGUGAACCACAUUACAGCCACAGUUCUGUUCUACCAGGAAGGAGAAUUCCAGAUCGGCCAGCAACCUCAGUCCAGACUCUGAGCCUCAUACACAAGCAGCCUAAGCUUCCUUCUUUCUAAGUGACUGAUGGAGGGAGGGGAAGCAACUACAACUUAGUUGUCAUGCAGUACUGUUAACCCAUCUCUCAUCUGUGGCUUAUUAUUGUCGUUAUUAUUGGGUUUGGUUGUUUUAUUUAACCUACAAUAUCCAAAACAUCACUUCAACAGGUAGUCAACACAUCCUCCCUGUCUCUGUAUAGGUCUUCACAUUGCCUUCUUCUCCCCUAUCUGUUCUAAAGCCCUCUCUGCUUUUUGAGUAGGGCACCCACUUCUGCCUUUCUAUGGCUCUUGAAUAACCCAGGAUAAUUUCAACUAAGAUUCUUAGCUUAAUUACACCCAGUAAAACUUCUAUAAGGCUCCAAUCAUAAAUCCCAAGGGUAGGAAUGUAUCUCUCACUGUCUCAGUCUCUUUCUCCCUCUCCCCCUCCCUCUCUCCCUCUGUCCUUCUCUCUCAGGAUUGUGAUUCAACACACUAUAAGAAUCCAUUCCAGCUUUCUUCUGUAACCACCAAAUCUUCUCAUCCUGAUUCUAAGCAAUGCUUUUUGCCAUCAAAAGCAACUGAGCGCUACGGCUGAAAGCAAGCCAGAUGUGCAUUAGCACCCAUCAUGGGUAGCCUUAAUCAUGAACAUCAUUGGAUUUAGGGUCACCACAGAACCACACUUCUGAGUGUAUCUAUGGGAUAUUUCCAGAAAGCUUUAAUGGAACAGAGAAGAUCUACUCUAAUGGGGGUGGUGACAUCCCAUGUGCUCUGGCUCUGGACUCAUGAAGGAGAAAGCAAGUUGAGCACCAGCCUUCAUUCUCUCUUCAUUCCCUCUCCCUCCUGACUGCAGGCACCUGCCACGUCAUCAGUUGCUUCACACUCUUGCAACCAUGCCUGCCUUAACGUAUAAGAAAUGCAAUUUAAGCCCCCAUUUUCUAACACAACCUUACACACCUUAGAUAUAUCAAGAACUACAGUGACCUUACAACUUUGUGUAGAAUAAUAUAUUGGAAAGAUUCAUACUUGGCUUCCAUUACAAGUAUCAUUUCCUCUCACUCUUGCUCUUUUAUAUCUUUGGUUUUUUUUAAAAGUGUGUGUGUGGUGUGAGUGUGUGUGUGUGUGUGUGUGUGUGUGUGUGUGUGUGUGUGAAGUUGCCCUUGGAUACCAGAAGUUCUGACAUGGAGUUAGAGUUACAGGUGGUUGUGAAUCUCUUGUCCCAGGUACUGGAAACCAAACUCAUAUCCCGUUCAAGCACAGUAUAGGCCCUUAACCUUCAAGCCACUUCCCCAGCUGCAAGCCUGCUUUAGUCGUCAAGAUCACUUCUGUUAUCACCAUCAGAUAUCACAUCCUUCCCUGUUCUCCCUGUUUGACCUGAUCUUUCUGCUCUAGCCCAGGCCUUUGGUGACCAGAAAAAUCAUGACUUGGGGGCGGGGGGGUUCUUCUUGAUAGCUACCCUGUUCUCUGUCCCACAUGCUUGCCCCUCUCCUAGCCUCUCCUAGGACCCCCUCUCCUUCAGCCUAUGGCUGUUUUGGGAUGGGUCCAACCCAAGGAUAUCCCAAGAAGAGAGUCAGGAACCUGAUGUAAUCAUUAUGACUAUUCAAAGAUCAUGGCUGAAGCAGUUAUGGGUCAGAUUCCUUCAUUUGUCAUUCAUUCAUUGCGUCAGCUCAGCAGCUGCUGCAUGUAAGAUGCCAUUGUAGCAGGUGUGAGGAAGGGAAAUGCAGGGAUGACGCCUGC